rnacentral:rRNA from 1 species
AGUUUGAUCAUGGCUCAGAUUGAACGCUGGCGGGAUGCUUUACAUGCAAGUCGAACGGCAGCACGGACUUCGGUCUGGUGGCGAGUGGCGAACGGGUGAGUAAUGUAUCGAACCGUGCCUAGUAGCGGGGGAUAACUACGCGAAAGCGUAGCUAAUACCGCAUACGCCCUUCGGGGAAAGCGGGGGACCUUCGGGCCUCGCACUAUUAGAGCGGCCGAUAUCGGAUUAGCUAGUUGGUGGGGUAACGGCUCACCAAGGCGACGAUCCGUAGCUGGUUUGAGAGGAUGACCAGCCACACUGGGACUGAGACACGGCCCAGACUCCUACGGGAGGCAGCAGUGGGGAAUUUUGGACAAUGGGGGAAACCCUGAUCCAGCCAUCCUGCGUGUGCGAUGAAGGCCUUCGGGUUGUAAAGCACUUUUGGCAGGAAAGAAACGGCACGGAUAAUACCCCGUGCACCGACGGUACCUGCAGAAUAAGCACCGGCUAACUACGUGCCAGCAGCCGCGGUGUAAUACGUAGGGUGCAAGCGUUAAUCGGAAUUACUGGGCGUAAAGCGUGCGCAGGCGGUUCGGAAAGAAAGAUGUGAAAUCCCAGAGCUUAACUUUGGAACUGCAUUUUUAACUACCGAGCUAGAGUGUGUCAGAGGGAGGUGGAAUUCCGCGUGUAGCAGUGAAAUGCGUAGAUAUGCGGAGGAACACCGAUGGCGAAGGCAGCCUCCCGGGGAUAACACUGACGCUCAUGCACGAAAGGGGAGCAAAAGCAGGAUUAGAUACUCCUGGUAGUCCACGCCCUAAACGAUGUCAACUAGCUGUUGGGGCCUUCGGGCCUUUAAAGCAGCUAACGCGCGAAGUUGACCGCCUGGGGAGUACGGUCGCAAGAUUAAAACUCAAAGGAAUUGACGGGGACCCGCACAAGCGGUGGAUGAUGCGGAUUAAUCUGAUGCAACGCGAAGAACCUUACCUACCCUUGACAUGUCUGGAAUCCCGAAGAGACGGGGAGUGCUCGCAAGAGAACCGGAACACAGGUGCUGCAUGGCUGUCGUCAGCUCGUGUCGUGAGAUGUUGGGUUAAGUCCCGCAACGAGCGGCAACCCUUGUCAUUAGUUGCUACGAAAGGGCACUCUUAAUGAGACUGCUGGUGACAAACCGGAGGAAGGUGAUGACGUCAAGUCCUCAUGGCCCUUAUGGGUAGGGCUUCACACGUCAUACAAUGGUCGGGACAGAGGGUCGCCAACCCGGGCGAGGGGGAGCCAAUCCCAGAAACCCGAUCGUAGUCCGGAUCGCAGUCUGCAACUCGACUGCGUGAAGUCGGAAUCGCUAGUAAUCGCGGAUCAGCAUGUCGCGUGAAUACGUUCCCGGGUCUUGUACACACCGCCCGUCACACCAUGGGAGUGGGUUUUACCAGAAGUAGCGUCAAUCCUAAGGAGGGCGAUUACCACGGUAGGAUUCAUGACUGGGGUGAAGUCGUAACAAGGUAG